rnacentral:rRNA from 1 species
AUUGAACGCUGGCGGCAUGCCUUACACAUGCAAGUCGAACGGCAGCACGGGAGCAAUCCUGGUGGCGAGUGGCGAACGGGUGAGUAAUGUAUCGGAACGUGCCCAGUCGUGGGGGAUAACGUAGCGAAAGCUACGCUAAUACCGCAUACGAUCUGUGGAUGAAAGCGGGGGACCGUAAGGCCUCGCGCGAUUGGAGCGGCCGAUAUCAGAUUAGGUAGUUGGUGGGGUAAAGGCCUACCAAGCCGACGAUCUGUAGCUGGUCUGAGAGGACGACCAGCCACACUGGGACUGAGACACGGCCCAGACUCCUACGGGAGGCAGCAGUGGGGAAUUUUGGACAAUGGGCGCAAGCCUGAUCCAGCAAUGCCGCGUGCAGGAUGAAGGCCUUCGGGUUGUAAACUGCUUUUGUACGGAGCGAAAAGGCUCUCUCUAAUACAGGGGGCUCAUGACGGUACCGUAAGAAUAAGCACCGGCUAACUACGUGCCAGCCGCCGCCGUAA